AGAAGGAAGAAUGCCCAGAAGUC
rnacentral:piRNA from 1 species